rnacentral:lncRNA from 1 species
CAACCAUUUACAUUUAAAUUGAUUACUGAUAAGUGAGUACUUACAAUUGCCUUUUCUUAGUUGUUUCUGUCUGUCUUGUAGCUCUUUAGUCCUUUUCUUUUCUUGCUCUCUUCCUUUGUAAUUUUGUUGACUGUUUGCAGCUGUUGGAGGCCGCACAAAUGUUUCUUAUAAUGAGGCAUAAUUGAAGCCUGUCAGUAACAAUAUGAACCUGUGGUCAAUUAAGCAGCUGACCAAUCGUUACCUCCUCCUUCUUGCUCUUGUUACCCAAUAAAUAAGAAGGGUUGUGGAAGCUCAGGGGCUGCCUUUCCUCACUAGAAGCAGGGAGCUCUCUUCUUCCCCAUGCUAGCCUUUCCUUAAAAUAGUUACUUUUGUUUUCUGUUAUGAUUUCUAUGUUCGUCCGUUCAUUCAGUCUUGUAAUGACAGUCUCAAGCAGUAACAGCAGUAACUGCUGUAAUGACGGUCUCAAGUAGUAGUAGUGGCAGUCGGCCACAUUUUAUAAUUUCUAUCUCUUUGCUGAUAUUCUCAUUUUGAUUAUGUAUCAUUUUCCUGAGCUCACUGAGCACCUUAAUGUCUGUCAUUUUAAAUUUUUUCACAGAUAAUCUAUAUACUUUCACUUCUUUAUGACCAGUUUCUAGAGUUUUAGUUUGGAAUGGACCACGUUUUAUUGUUUUACCAUGCGUCUUGUAACUUUUUGUUGAAAUUCAUUCAUUUGAAAAACAACCACUUCUCCCCAUCUUUGAAGAUAGACAUCAUACAGGGAGAAGACAGAAACUGGAAGUUCCUUCUCAAUUGGACUUUACUGAGCUAGCAGGAAACAAUAUGAUUGAAAAUGAAAAUAUCUUUUGCUUCACUUCUUAUACGACAGAGAAAGCGUAAUCCGGAACAAAGCCAUACCUGUCUCCUGCCUCCUGACCUGCCUCACACUCCUCUACCUGAAUGCACUUGUGAACUUCAGAAUUUUGAAGCUCUGUCUCCUGACAUCACAGAUAGACAAGCACUGAACUUGGCAGGAAAAUCAGUAGGAGUAAGUGGCGGAGGCAUGGGACUGGCAGAGAUACGGCAGCCCCUGUGGAGAGGCUGUCUACAGAUAACAUAACAAUAACAACAGGAUCUGCGGGGUUCCUGCAUGCGUGUUGGCUUCACUGGAGAAACUAAUCAAGUGGUCUGAGUCAUUCAAGUUAUAGUCUAUUUGAAGACGAGUUGAAUCUGAAACAAUGAGUAAGAUGAUGAGAGCUCGAUACUUAUGGUUUAAAUAUAAAAGGGGUAUCCCAACUCAGAAAGAGAGAGGAGAUCUGGAAAAAUCCUGCUUUCUGAAGCUUUUGACGGUAUUUUCAUACUGCCUGACUAAAGUGCAACAGCUACAUAUUGACAGGCGGUGGAAGGUGCAGUUUGGACACAGAGACUGACACACAGGAAGAAUACCAUGUGAAGACUGGAGUUUUGCAUAGAGAAGCCAAGGAGCUACCAGAAGCUAGGAGAAUGGCCUGGAACAGACCUUUCCUUAGUGCCUUCAGAGAGAGCAUGGCGCUGCCAACAUCUUGAUCUCAGACUUCCAGCAUCCUGAAUUGUGAGAUAAAUUUCUGCUGUUUAAACCAUAUAAUUUGUGAUACUUUGCUAUGGCAACUGUCACAGCUAUUAUAAGCACCUAACCCUUUUUUUAAUCUUUUAAGAAACUUUUUGCUUUCAUCUACUUUUUUUGUUCUGGUUAUUCCAUAUUUUACUUUAAGAUUUAGUCUUCUGUCAAUAAAGCAAUAAUUUCAGAUCAAUUUCAAUAAAAAAUUAAUAAUGUCCAAACA